rnacentral:rRNA from 1 species
AUAUCAAUAAAGCGGAGGAAAAGAAACCAACAGGGAUUGCCUCAGUAACGGCGAGUGAAGCGGCAACAGCCCAGAUUUGAAAUCCGGCUUUCGGGCCCGACUUGUAAUCUGCAGAUGAGUCUUUUGGCGGAGCGCCGUCCAAGUUCCCUGGAACGGGACGCCGGAGAGGGUGAGAGCCCCGUACCGACGUGCGCCGAGUCUUUGCAAAGCUCAUUCGAAGAGUCGAGUAGUUUGGAAAUGCUGCUCAAAUUGUGGGGUAAAUCUCCCAUAAGGCUAAAUACUGGCCAGAGACCGAUAGCGCACAAGUAGCGUGAGCGAAAGAUGAAAAGAGCCUUGAACAAGGGCGUCAAAAAGCAUGUGAAAUUGUUGUGAGGGAAGCGCUCGAUGCCAGACGUGGAGGCGGUUGGUUACCCGGCGUUCUCGCCGGCGCACUCUGCCGUCUCCAGGCCAGCAUCAGUUCGGCUUGGGGCUCAAUGCAGUUGGGAACGUGGCUCUUCGGAGUGUUAUAGCCCAGCUGCGACGUCCUGGGCCGGACUGAGGAACGCGCAUCUGCCCGGAUGCUGGCGUAAUGGCUUCUAGCGACCCGUCUUGAAACACGGACCAAGGAGUUGACCUAACAUGCGAGUGUUUGGGUGUAAAGCCCUCACGCGCAGUGAAAGCGAACGCAGGUGGGAGCUUCGGCGCACCAUCGACCGAUCCUGAAGUUUACGGAUGGAUUUGAGUAAGAGCAUGUUGGGUCUGACCCGAAAGAAGGUGAACUAUGCAUGAAUAGGGUGAAGCCAGAGGAAACUCUGGUGGAGGCUCGCAGCGGUUCUGACGUGCAAAUCGAUCGUCAAAUUUGUGCAUGGGGGCGAAAGACCAAUCGAACCUUCUAGUAGCUGGUUCCUGCCGAAGUUUCCCUCAGGAUAGCAGAGUUGGACCUCAGUUUCAUGAGGUAAAGCGAAUGAUUAGAGACUCGGGGGCGCUAUAUUGCCUUCAUCUAUUCUCAAACUUUAAAUAUGUGAGAAGCCUUGUGUUACUUUCUUGAACGCAGGCCUUUGAAUGAAUCAACUCU